CCACAACCUGUACCUAAAUCUUAGAACCAUCAUGACAUCUGAUGUGGCUUUUUAAACCAGAAAAUGUUUUGAAAAGACACCCACAUAGAUUGCAAAUCUGAUUUGGACCACCAAGCGCUGCAGUUAAGUUCUGAUCUUUGUGGAUCUUAAAAUGUCUUUUGAGACCUACGUUAGAUUUGCAGACCUUCUGGCAUACAUUGCAUUGAAAAGUGUGCACAGACAUAUAGGCAGAUUAAUUGGUGGAAGUUAGUUUUUCAUGAGUUCGC